rnacentral:rRNA from 1 species
GACGAACGCUGGCGGCGUGCUUAACACAUGCAAGUCGAACGGAAAGGCCCUGCUUUUGUGGGGUGCUCGAGUGGCGAACGGGUGAGUAACACGUGAGUAACCUGCCCUUGACUUUGGGAUAACUUCAGGAAACUGGGGCUAAUACCGGAUAGGAGCUCCUGCUGCAUGGUGGGGGUUGGAAAGUUUCGGCGGUUGGGGAUGGACUCGCGGCUUAUCAGCUUGUUGGUGGGGUAGUGGCUUACCAAGGCUUUGACGGGUAGCCGGCCUGAGAGGGUGACCGGCGACGAGGGGCCUGAGGUAGGGCGAAGAGGGGAACGGGGGGCAGCAGGGGGGAGGAGGGGACAGUGGGCGGGAGGGUGAUACAGCGACGCCGCGUGCGGAAAGGCGGCGUAGGGGGUAGAAACCGCUGUAGCCUGGGACCAAGCGGGGGUGACGGUAAUGGGAAAAGAAGCACCGGCUAACUACGUG